UGCAAGUCGAACGGUGAAGCCAAGCUUGCUUGGUGGAUCAGAUGGCGAACGGGUGAGUAACACGUGAGCAACCUGCCCUGAACUCUGGGAUAAGCGCUGGAAACGGCGUCUAAUACUGGAUAUGAGCUGCGGAGGCAUCUUCGUGGUUGGAAAGAUUUUUCGGUUUGGGAUGGGCUCGCGGCCUAUCAGCUUGUUGGUGAGGUAAUGGCUCACCAAGGCGUCGACGGGUAGCCGGCCUGAGAGGGUGACCGGCCACACUGGGACUGAGACACGGCCCAGACUCCUACGGGAGGCAGCAGUGGGGAAUAUUGCACAAUGGGCGGAAGCCUGAUGCAGCAACGCCGCGUGAGGGAUGACGGCCUUCGGGUUGUAAACCUCUUUUAGCAGGGAAGAAGCGAAAGUGACGGUACCUGCAGAAAAAGCGCCGGCUAACUACGUGCCAGCAGCCGC
rnacentral:rRNA from 1 species